rnacentral:rRNA from 1 species
UACGGAGGGUCCAAGCGUUAUCCGGAAUCAUUGGGUUUAAAGGGUCCGUAGGCGGUUUUGUAAGUCAGUGGUGAAAGCCCAUCGCUCAACGGUGGAACGGCCAUUGAUACUGCCAGACUUGAAUUAUUAGGAAGUAACUAGAAUAUGUAGUGUAGCGGUGAAAUGCUUAGAGAUUACAUGGAAUACCAAUUGCGAAGGCAGGUUACUACUAAUGGAUUGACGCUGAUGGACGAAAGCGUGGGUAGCGAACAGG